rnacentral:rRNA from 1 species
AAAUGCCCUGCUUCCAGGAAAAGCCUCUAAGCAUCAGGUAACAUCAAAUCGUACCCCAAACCGACACAGGUGGUCAGGUAGAGAAUACCAAGGCGCUUGAGAGAACUCGGGUGAAGGAACUAGGCAAAAUGGUGCCGUAACUUCGGGAGAAGGCACGCUGAUAUGUAGGUGAAGCGACUUGCUCGUGGAGCUGAAAUCAGUCGAAGAUACCAGCUGGCUGCAACUGUUUAUUAAAAACACAGCACUGUGCAAACACGAAAGUGGACGUAUACGGUGUGACGCCUGCCCGGUGCCGGAAGGUUAAUUGAUGGGGUUAGCGGUAACGCGAAGCUCUUGAUCGAAGCCCCGGUAAACGGCGGCCGUAACUAUAACGGUCCUAAGGUAGCGAAAUUCCUUGUCGGGUAAGUUCCGACCUGCACGAAUGGCGUAAUGAUGGCCAGGCUGUCUCCACCCGAGACUCAGUGAAAUUGAACUCGCUGUGAAGAUGCAGUGUACCCGCGGCAAGACGGAAAGACCCCGUGAACCUUUACUAUAGCUUGACACUGAACAUUGAGCCUUGAUGUGUAGGAUAGGUGGGAGGCUUUGAAGUGUGGACGCCAGUCUGCAUGGAGCCGACCUUGAAAUACCACCCUUUAAUGUUUGAUGUUCUAACGUUGGCCCGUAAUCCGGGUUGCGGACAGUGUCUGGUGGGUAGUUUGACUGGGGCGGUCUCCUCCUAAAGAGUAACGGAGGAGCACGAAGGUUGGCUAAUCCUGGUCGGACAUCAGGAGGUUAGUGCAAUGGCAUAAGCCAGCUUGACUGCGAGCGUGACGGCGCGAGCAGGUGCGAAAGCAGGUCAUAGUGAUCCGGUGGUUCUGAAUGGAAGGGCCAUCGCUCAACGGAUAAAAGGUACUCCGGGGAUAACAGGCUGAUACCGCCCAAGAGUUCAUAUCGACGGCGGUGUUUGGCACCUCGAUGUCGGCUCAUCACAUCCUGGGGCUGAAGUAGGUCCCAAGGGUAUGGCUGUUCGCCAUUUAAAGUGGUACGCGAGCUGGGUUUAGAACGUCGUGAGACAGUUCGGUCCCUAUCUGCCGUGGGCGCUGGAGAACUGAGGGGGGCUGCUCCUAGUACGAGAGGACCGGAGUGGACGCAUCACUGGUGUUCGGGUUGUCAUGCCAAUGGCACUGCCCGGUAGCUAAAUGCGGAAGAGAUAAGUGCUGAAAGCAUCUAAGCACGAAACUUGCCCCGAGAUGAGUUCUCCCUGAGACUUAGAGUCUCCUGAAGGAACGUUGAAGACGACGACGUUGAUAGGCCGGGUGUGUAAGCGCAGCGAUGCGUUGAGCUAACCGGUACUAAUGAACCGUGAGGCUUAACCUUACAACGCCGAAG